CCUACGGGGUGCUGCAGUGAGGAAUAUUGGUCAAUGGACGAGAGUCUGAACCAGCCAAGUAGCGUGAAGGAUGACUGCCCUAUGGGUUGUAAACUUCUUUUAUAUGGGAAUAGAAUGUUCCACGUGUGGGAUUUUGUAUGUACCAUAUGAAUAAGGAUCGGCUAACUCCGUGCCAGCAGCCGCGGUAAUACGGAGGAUCCGAGCGUUAUCCGGAUUUAUUGGGUUUAAAGGGAGCGUAGGUGGAUUGUUAAGUCAGUUGUGAAAGUUUGCGGCUCAACCGUAAAAUUGCAGUUGAAACUGGCAGUCUUGAGUACAGUAGAGGUGGGCGGAAUUCGUGGUGUAGCGGUGAAAUGCUUAGAUAUCACGAAGAACUCCGAUUGCGAAGGCAGUUCACUGGACUGCAACUGACACUGAGGCUCGAAAGUGUGGGUAUCAAACAGGAUUAGAUACCCUUGUAGUC
rnacentral:rRNA from 1 species